UGGGGAAUAUUGCACAAUGGGCGCAAGCCUGAUGCAGCCAUGCCGCGUGUAUGAAGAAGGCCUUCGGGUUGUAAAGUACUUUCAGCGGGGAGGAAGGGAGUAAAGUUAAUACCUUUGCUCAUUGACGUUACCCGCAGAAGAAGCCCCGGCUAACUCCGUGCCAGCAGCCGCGGUAAUACGGAGGGUGCAAGCGUUAAUCGGAAUUACUGGGCGUAAAGCGCACGCAGGCGGUUUGUUAAGUCAGAUGUGAAAUCCCCGGGCUCAACCUGGGAACUGCAUCUGAUACUGGCAAGCUUGAGUCGCGUGGAGGGGGGUAGAAUUCCAGGUGUAGCGGUGAAAUGCGUAGAGAUCUGGAGGAAUACCGGUGGCGGAGGCGGCCCCCUGGACGAAGACUGACGCUCAGGUGCGAAAGCGUGGGGGGCAAACAGG
rnacentral:rRNA from 1 species